rnacentral:rRNA from 1 species
CUGGAGCUAACGCGUUAAAUCGACCGCCUGGGGAGUACGGCCGCAAGGUUAAAACUCAAAUGAAUUGACGGGGGCCCGCACAAGCGGUGGAGCAUGUGGUUUAAUUCGAUGCAACGCGAAGAACCUUACCUACUCUUGACAUCCAGCGAAUCCUUUAGAGAUAGAGGAGUGCCUUCGGGAACGCUGAGACAGGUGCCGCAUGGCUGUCGUCAGCUCGUGUUGUGAAAUGUUGGGUUAAGUCCCGCAACGAGCGCAACCCUUAUCCUUUAUUGCCAGCACGUAAUGGUGGGAACUCAAAGGAGACUGCCGGUGAUAAACCGGAGGAAGGUGGGGAUGACGUCAGGUCAUCAUGGCCCUUACGAGUAGGGCUACACACGUGCUACAAUGGCAGAUACAAAGAGAAGCGACCUCGCGAGAGCAAGCGGAACUCAUAAAGUCUGUCGUAGUCCGGAUUGGAGUCUGCAACUCGACUCCAUGAAGUCGGAAUCGCUAGUAAUCGUAGAUCAGAAUGCUACGGUGAAUACGUUCCCGGGCCUUGUACACACCGCCCGUCACACCAUGGGAGUGGGUUGCAAAAGAAGUAGGUAGCUUAACCUUCGGGAGGGCGCUUACCACUUUGUGAUUCAUGACUGGGGUGAAGUCGUA